UAUGGUAUUGUGCAGCAGCCGCGGUAAUACGUAGGGGGCAAGCGUUAUCCGGAUUUACUGGGUGUAAAGGGAGCGUAGACGGAUGGACAAGUCUGAUGUGAAAGGCUGGGGCUCAACCCCGGGACUGCAUUGGAAACUGCCCGUCUUGAGUGCCGGAGAGGUAAGCGGAAUUCCUAGUGUAGCGGUGAAAUGCGUAGAUAUUAGGAGGAACACCAGUGGCGAAGGCGGCUUACUGGACGGUAACUGACGUUGAGGCUCGAAAGCGUGGGGAGCAAACAGG
rnacentral:rRNA from 1 species